CUUGCACUUGCAACAUUCUUUUUUUUCUUUUAUUUCCUUCUUCUCUCUCUCUCUUU
rnacentral:ribozyme from 13 species